rnacentral:lncRNA from 10 species
CUCUAGGCUACAAACCUGUACAACGUGUUACUGUACUGAAUACUGUAGGCAGUUGUAACACAGUGGUAUUUGUGGAUCUAAACCAGAAAUGGUACAGAUAUGGCAUAAAAAAUAUAAAAUGGUACACCUAUGUAGGACACUUACCAUGAGUGGAGCUUGCAGGACUGGAAGUUGCUCUGGGUGUGAGUCAGUGAGUGGGUCAGGAUCAUCAGUAUCGCCCCUGUCCACCUUCACAUCUUGUUCUACUGAAAGGUCUUAACGGGCAGCAAUAUGCAUGGAGCUGUCAUCUUCUAUAACAAUGUCUUUUUCUGGAAUACCUCCUGAAGGACCUGCCUGAGGCUGUUUCACAGGUAACUUUAAAAUAUUUAUAUAAGUAGGAGUAUACUCUAAAAUAAUGAUUAAAAGUAUAGUAAAUACAUAAGCCAAUAACAUAGUUGUUUAUUAUCAUUAUCAAGUGUUAUGUACUGUACAUAAUUGUAUGUGCUAUACCUUUUUGCAAAUCUCUUCAAUGUUUGGUCAACAAAGAUGACCUGCUUCUACUUUCAAUCUUAUGACAUCUUGUUUUGGUCACACUGUAUGAAGAAAAUCUGACCUCACACAAAUGUAGUUGGAAAAAAGAGGAAUAUCUUAAUAGCCUUCUCAUAUAAUAAUGGACAUUCUUUAUACCAACACUUGAAAAAGAGGUAGAUUUUUAAAGGUUAGUUGCAAUGUGGAAACUGAAACCAUAAUUAGUAAUUUCCAUACGCUGCCAUAUGAAAAUCCAUUAGUCUGUUUUGCUCUUCGAAUGCAUCUUUUAUCCAUGUGUGAUUUUGUAACAUCAUUGGUCUUUUGGGGAAAAUAAAAGGUUCAUUGAGUUAUGCAGGUAUUCCAAAUGUUGAUGUUUCAUUGUACACUAUCAAAAAAUCAUUAGUUAAUAUCACCACCAAUAUUAUCAGAAAAAUCUUUGAGUAUUGGGAAGCUAUCAGAUUCACAAUGGUAGAUAUGUUUUCCAAAAUUCUGAUUUUCACUUAUAAGCUUGUAUUUUAUCACUGGGAAAAAUACUGUCUGUUGUUUUUCCUGAAGUGAUAGUCUCACUUUGUACAUUUUUAGAAAGUGUCUGCCAAAUACCCAAGUCUGAAUAACUAUAAUUCAUAUGUAAGUCCUUAAAGUGAAAAUGGUGUUCCAUGAGACAAAUGGCUAGGCCAGCUGGCAACUCAAACAAUUGUACAAGUGCUUUUUCUGGAGAUAACCAUUGUACUUUGGUAUGUGGCAGACAUACUUUCUGUGUACUUCCAUUUCACCACACAGAAUAUUAAAAAGAUAAGUCUUCAAGGGUCAACAUUUAAUAAAGUUAAAUUUUUUGGACAUUAUCAAGUGAAACUGGCAGACCUCAAAUCUGAGGUCUUUUUUGCUUUUUUUUUUUUCUUGCUUUAAAAACAUCUUUAUCUAUUGCUCGUCAUUAUACAAAUGAGGACUCUUCUUAAAAACGAGCUUUAUUGGGG